CGGUGAUUCAGAAAUUUACAUUCUACUUCUUGGAUUGCAUAAUCACUAUACAUUUGCAUAAGAGUACCUUCUUCCAAAUGACUUCAAACCAAGGAACAAUGGCAUCCACCAACGAAGCACAAAUUCCACACAUCCAAAUACGCCAACUAAAAAAAUUUCAAAGAGAGUGGA